rnacentral:rRNA from 1 species
GAUGAACGCUGGCGGCGUGCCUAAUACAUGCAAGUCGAGCGAACGGACGAGAAGCUUGCUUCUCUGAUGUUAGCGGCGGACGGGUGAGUAACACGUGGAUAACCUACCUAUAAGACUGGGAUAACUUCGGGAAACCGGAGCUAAUACCGGAUAAUAUUUUGAACCGCAUGGUUCAAAAGUGAAAGACGGUCUUGCUGUCACUUAUAAAUGGAUCCGCGCUGCAUUAGCUAGUUGGUAAGGUAACGACUUACCAAGGCAACGAUGCAUAGCCGACCUGAGAGGGUGAUCGGCCACACUGGAACUGAGCCACGGUCCAGACUCCUACGGGAGGCAGCAGUAGGGAAUCUUCCGCAAUGGGCGAAAGCCUGACGGAGCAACGCCGCGUGAGUGAUGAAGGUCUUCGGAUCGUAAAACUCUGUUAUUAGGGAAGAACAUAUGUGUAAGUAACUGUGCACAUCUUGACGGUACCUAAUCAGAAAGCCACGGCUAACUACGUG